CAGGACACGCUGGCGGCGUGCCUAAUACAUGCAAGUCGAGCGGAUCUUCGGGAGCUUGCUCCCGAAGAUUAGCGGCGGACGGGUGAGUAACACGUGGGCAACCUGCCUGUAAGAUCGGGAUAACUCCGGGAAACCGGGGCUAAUACCGAAUAAUGCAUUUCCUCUCAUGAGGAAAUGCUGAAAGAUGGUUUCGGCUGUCACUUACAGAUGGGCCCGCGGCGCAUUAGCUAGUUGGUGAGGUAACGGCUCACCAAGGCCACGAUGCGUAGCCGACCUGAGAGGGUGAUCGGCCACACUGGGACUGAGACACGGCCUAGACUCCUACGGGAGGCAGCAGUAGGGAAUCUUCCGCAAUGGACGAAAGUCUGACGGAGCAACGCCGCGUGAGCGAUGAAGGCCUUCGGGUCGUAAAGCUCUGUUGUUAGGGAAGAAUAAGUAUCGGAGUAACUGCCGGUACCUUGACGGUACCUAACCAGAAAGCCACGGCUAACUACGUG
rnacentral:rRNA from 1 species